CAGGUGAGGGACACAUGUCGAAGCUUGCGUGGAGCAACUCGUCAGGUGUUGUGUGGAGCAAUGUGACUCUAGUUCAUCGGUGACAUGCGACUUCUACAACCCACGAUCCGACCCGUGAUCCACUAACCAACCCGCAAACCGUUGAACCGACUAACCUGUGAUCCAACCGAGCCGACUUGAACUGAUUCAGCGACCCGCGACUGCAGGUUUCCCUCCUCACAUGGCACUCACGUGUGAAUCCUGCGAAUAGGCUUCCUCUCGACACAUGAAGAACCUAAUUGAGGAAAAUCACACUCCUUAGACACCCUAUUUCUAUGUGCUUGAUGGAAGUUAUCGCCCCGUUAAGCAUGUGUUAUUUUUCGUAGAAUAAUGUAUGAUGAUUCUAGUGAAGUAUUAUGUGCCCACCCAAUUAAUUUUAUUGAACUAGAUAUUAUGUUAA